GCGCGUAGGCGGUCUGUUAAGUGAGAAGUGAAAUCUCCAGGGCUCAACCCGGAAACCGCUUUUCAUACUGGCAGACUUGAGGAAAGCAGAGGUUUGUGGAAUUCCUGGUGUAGCGGUGAAAUGCGUUGAUAUCAGGAGGAACACCCAUGGCGAAGGCAGCAAACUGGGCUUUAUCUGACGCUGAGGCGCGAAAGCGUGGGUAGCAAACAGGAUUAGAUACCCUGGUAGUCCACGCCCUAAACGAUGGAUACUAGGCGUAAGAGGUAUCGACCCCUCUUGUGCCGCAGCUAACGCAUUAAGUAUCCCGCCUGGGGACUACGGCCGCAAGGUUGAAACUCAAAUGAAUUGACGGGGACCCGCACAAGCGGUGGAGCAUGUGGAUUAAUUCGAUACUAACCGAAGAACCUUACCCAGGUUUGACAUCGAUGGUAAGCCACUGAAAGGUGGCCCUCCCCCACAAGGGGACCUGAAGACACUUGUUGCAUGGCUGUCGUCAGCUCGUGCCGUGAGGUGUACGGUUAAGUCCGCCAACGAGCGCAACCCUCGUUCUGUGUU
rnacentral:rRNA from 1 species